AUUGAACGCUGGCGGCAGGCCUAACACAUGCAAGUCGAGCGAGCGGCGGACGGGGGAGUAAUGUAUGGGGACUGCCCGAUAGAGGGGGAUAACUCCUGGAAAAGGUAUCUAUAACCGCAUACUACCGCAUUACCCAUAUGGGAUUAGCUAGUAGGUGGGGUAAUGGCUCACCUAGGCGACGAUCCCUAGCUGGUCUGAGAGGAUGAUCAGCCACACUGGGACUGAGACACGGCCCAGACUCCUACGGAGGCAGCAGUGGGGAAUAUUGCACAAUGGGCGCAAGCCUGAUGCAGCCAUGCCGCGUGUAUGAAGAAGGCCCUAGGGUUGUAAAGUACUUUCAGUCGGGAGGCGUUACCGACAGAAGAAGCACCGGCUAACUCCGUGCCAGCAGCCGCGGUAAUAC
rnacentral:rRNA from 1 species